UACGUAGGGUGCAAGCGUUGUCCGGAAUUAUUGGGCGUAAAGAGCUCGUAGGCGGUUUGUCGCGUCGACUGUGAAACCCCGAGGCUUAACCUCGGGCCUGCAGUCGAUACGGGCAGACUAGAGUUCGGUAGGGGAGACUGGAAUUCCUGGUGUAGCGGUGAAAUGCGCAGAUAUCAGGAGGAACACCAAUGGCGAAGGCAGCACUCUGGGACGUGACUGACGCUGAGACGCGAAAGCGUGGGGAGCAAACAGG
rnacentral:rRNA from 1 species